UUGCAUCUAUUCUACAGACCUGGAGCAUUUGCUGUCUGCUACUAAGAUUUCCGCUACAGAUGCAAGAAAAACAUGCCCUCGUGCUUUCUGUCUGUCUGAUUGUGGCAGCCAAGAAGGAACAGGGAAAUACAGGA